rnacentral:lncRNA from 1 species
AGUUUGAGGGAAAGUAAAUAGGGGGAGUAAAAUUUUGGAGGGAAAAUAUUAAAAAAAAUUGGAGGGGGGGAGAGUUUGGGGUAGAUGGGAGGUGGGAUGGGAAGGGAAUAAAAUUUUUAGGGGAAAAGUGGGAGGGAGUAAAAAUUUUGGGGGGAAAUAAAAGGUUUUGAGGGUUUUUGGGAGUAAAAUUUUAAGAAAAAGUAAAUGGGAGAGUAAAAUUUUGGUGGGAAAUGGAUUUUGGGUAGAUUGGGGGGAAAGUGGGAAGCAGUAAAAGUUUUGAGGGAAAAGUAAAAAGGUUUGGGAGUUUAGGGUAAAAAUGUAAAAUAUUAUAUUUUGAUAUUCGAAUUAUUCGAAUUAUUCGAAUUAUUCAAGUUAGUCGAAUUUGAAAACUCAACUUGAUUUGAACUCGAAAGUUGAAAAAAAA